rnacentral:tRNA from 1 species
CACUAAGAAGCUAAACUGGACUUACAGCGCUAGCCUUUUAAGCUAGAGAUUGGUGCCUACCAACCACCCUUAGUGA